rnacentral:rRNA from 1 species
AGUGAACGCUGGCGGUAGGCCUAACACAUGCAAGUCGAACGGCAGCACAGUAAGAGCUUGCUCUUACGGGUGGCGAGUGGCGGACGGGUGAGGAAUACAUCGGAAUCUACUUUUUCGUGGGGGAUAACGUAGGGAAACUUACGCUAAUACCGCAUACGACCUACGGGUGAAAGCAGGGGAUCUUCGGACCUUGCGCGAUUGAAUGAGCCGAAGUCGGAUUAGCUAGUUGGCGGGGUAAAGGCCCACCAAGGCGACGAUCCGUAGCUGGUCUGAGAGGAUGAUCAGCCACACUGGAACUGAGACACGGUCCAGACUCCUACGGGAGGCAGCAGUGGGGAAUAUUGGACAAAGGGCGCAAGCCUGAUCCAGCCAUACCGCGUGGGUGAAGAAGGCCUUCGGGUUGUAAAGCCCUUUUGUUGGGAAAGAAAAGCAGCAGGUUAAUACCCCGCUGUUCUGACGGUACCCAAAGAAUAAGCACCGGCUAACUUCGUG